GCAAUCGAAGGCCCCGCCGAGCAUUGCGAUCGUCGUCUUUGCUUCAAGGUUCGGGGCUCGAGCGUUCCUGGAGUGUGUGGACAGCCCAGAUUCCAGACAUUUGUGUCCAAAAGAUAAGAACACGCGAGAGGCACUCUCACUUCAGUGCACCUCGAGGGAGAGGUGUUUGGGAUUGUCCCCUUUUCCAUCCACAGGGGCGGAGACUACGUGAAGGCUCCAGCGCUACAGGUUUCUAAACCGGAUUUGGGCUUCCAGCAGAGCUAAGGAUGAACCACUAGGUGGAGGUCUUGGACUACAGAGCUGGUUUUUAAGACCCAGAAACGCCUUGAUUUGGGGAGGCUCUGAAAGAAGGAACUGCAGCAAGGCCUUAGGAAGAGCCCAGAAGAUGAGGACAUUGGACACUGAGCUAUUUACACGGCUCUGCAUCUGUAGAUGGCUGGUGGCUCAGGCCCAGGAGGCCCCAGGGACACAGGAAGAACAGUCGUGAGGACAGCUUGGCUCACUCAGGAGAACGCUGAAGAGAGAAUGAUCUGUUUCGGUUUGGUG